AACGAACGCUGGCGGUAUGCUUAACACAUGCAAGUCGAACGGACUUAUUAGAGCUUGCUUUAAUAAGUUAGUGGCAAACGGGUGAGUAACACGUGGGAAUCUACCCAUCAGUACGGAAUAACAUUUGGAAACAAAUGCUAAUACCCGUAUAUUCUCUACGGAGGAAAGAUUUAUCGCUGAUGGAUGAGCCCGCGUUAGAUUAGGUAGUUGGUAGGGUAAUGGCCUACCAAGCCGACGAUCUAUAGCUGGUCUGAGAGGAUGAUCAGCCACACUGGGACUGAGACACGGCCCAGACUCCUACGGGAGGCAGCAGUGGGGAAUAUUGGACAAUGGGCGAAAGCCUGAUCCAGCAAUACCGCGUGAGUGAUGAAGG
rnacentral:rRNA from 1 species